UUAAACAUACAAGAGUUCUUUAGUCUUUAGUUCUUUAUCGUAUCCUUCUCGGUCGAUUCUCGAAUCUAUUGAACGUCUACCCGAUAUUCGUCUCGUGAUACGAGCAGUGUAGUGUAUCCGUCAAUUUAAUAAGGCAUAUCCCCGUGGCACACCUUGUCACAUUGUCAUCGUCGAAUAAACUCCUUUUCGAAGCGGUCUAACCUCUUAAAACGGUAAAGAACCUUUGGUCUUUACUUCUUUAAACGCGGUGAUAGAGUGGUUGAAAGGUGAGGAGGCACUCGAGCGGUGCCGGAAGAGACGCGAGGACGUACUGAAGGGGUUGGCUGGGCUGCCUUUAUGCCGUAACAACGAGGGCCCACUUCAUAGGGCAGGAAGCACAAAGACGAGAAUUUACCCGUACCACUCUACUCAUUCGUGUUCCCUGUCCGCACAUCUCGAAGUUCAUGAUUCCAAGGACAUGGAACUUGCAAUAGAUCAUGCAGAGAUCGAGGACCAGAAAAUACAUGAUCCCAUAGUUGUAAAAAUCGUCACAAGUCAUCUGAAAGUCGAAAAAUCUCGAGAUGUAUUCAUAUCUCGAGAAUGGUGAUGCAACCAGGAAACAAGGAGUAGACAAUGGUAUAACGCUUGAUCAGAAGUGAAAUGUCAAGGUAAAGAGCAGUAAAGAGGCUCAAGCGUGUUCGAUGAACAGCACGCAACCGUUAGCCUAACAAGCUGUCAAGACGUCGCCGCGUGUCAAUCCAAUGGUCUCUACGCACCCUUCGAAUAAAUCUACUGGGAGUCUGUUUCCACCCCCUUUCUCGACGCCGCACCAACCAGAACUGCUGUUGUUUCUCAACCACCGCUUGCGAACUUUUAGCCCUAUGAAUGAUUUAACCUCUUAGAUUACGUUCCUCUCGUAUCCAGUCUUGCAUAUUCCUUAUCUUUCAAAGAUAAAUUAAACUCAAGCAAGUCAAUUGUAGACUGUGUAUUUUUAUGCAUUUAGAUGAAAUUUAAUAGUGCAAAAAUGUAUGGAAUGCGUACAAUGUGCAGAAAUACAUGGAAUACCCAAAGUAGAGUACCGAUUAUAAUUUUUAAUAGAUAGGUCUCAAUUUUCUCUAGUUGUGCACAUAAAAACGUAAAUUUGUAUAAAAAUCCGAGGUGUAAUAACCGAUAGAAAGCAUACUAUUUUGUCUCCUUCUUAAUUUCAAAACUUUGCAAUUUAUUGCUUUGGGAUCUUAAUAAAAUUAUCAGCUACAAACGUGUUGGAAUUCGAUGUUUUAUUGAAUUAUUAUGGCUGUAUUUAA